AUUGAACUGAAGAGUUUGAUCAUGGCUCAGAUUGAACGCUGGCGGCAGGCCUAACACAUGCAAGUCGAGCGGAUGAAGGGAGCUUGCUCCUGGAUUCAGC
rnacentral:rRNA from 1 species